rnacentral:rRNA from 1 species
UACGAAGGGGGCUAGCGUUGUUCGGAAUUACUGGGCGUAAAGGGCGCGUAGGCGGCUGCGCAAGUCGGUUGUGAAACCCCGGGGCUCAACCCCGGAACUGCAUCCGAUACUGCGUGGCUAGAGGUAGGUAGGGGAGAUCGGAAUUCCUGGUGUAGCGGUGAAAUGCGCAGAUAUCAGGAGGAACACCGGUGGCGAAGGCGGAUCUCUGGGCCUUACCUGACGCUCAGGCACGAAAGCUAGGGGAGCGAACAGG